UGGGGAAUAUUGCACAAUGGGCGCAAGCCUGAUGCAGCCAUGCCGCGUGUAUGAAGAAGGCAUUCGGGUUGUAAAGUACUUUCAGCGGGGAGGAAGGCGAUAAGGUUAAUAACCUUGUCGAUUGACGUUACCCGCAGAAGAAGCACCGGCUAACUCCGUGCCAGCAGCCGCGGUAAUACGGAGGGUGCAAGCGUUAAUCGGAAUUACUGGGCGUAAAGCGCACGCAGGCGGUCUGUCAAGUCGGAUGUGAAAUCCCCGGGCUCAACCUGGGAACUGCAUUCGAAACUGGCAGGCUAGAGUCUUGUAGAGGGGGGUAGAAUUCCAGGUGUAGCGGUGAAAUGCGUAGAGAUCUGGAGGAAUACCGGUGGCGAAGGCGGCCCCCUGGACAAAGACUGACGCUCAGGUGCGAAAGCGUGGGGAGCAAACA
rnacentral:rRNA from 1 species